UAAGGAUUUAGUUUAAAUAAAAUAGCUGUUUUGCAUGCAGCAGAUGUUAGGUCAUGUCUUGCAAUCCUUA
rnacentral:tRNA from 1 species